GUUUCCCUCAGGGCCCCCCACGUUGUUUUCUGAGCAGAAUUGAGCAAGUGUUGGCUGAAGGAACGUGUGUGUUUGUGAACGUUGGAAAUGAAAAGGGAGGAAUGGGAGAUGGUCAUAUGAUGAGGUCUCCUGAGUCCGGCAUCUGGUGCGCCUGGGUUGGAGUCCAGUCAGGCCCACCUGCAGAGAGUCUGGCCUUUCUGUGCAUUCAGCCUUUUUGCCGGACAAACGAGACAGGAAAUCAACUAUUUCUCAGACCACCAGCGUACAGUGGUGGGGGUGAUGGUUCCUGCCGCUCCGAGAUCAGCUCUGCAGCCCGGGAUCCUGGUGGCUUUCGAAGCGGGUCGCUGGGAAACUGACUCCGGGCCGGUCACCGCGCCCCAGCUCUGGCCUCCACCCCAUGACUAAGCACAGAGAGUGAACUCAGCAUGCCAGAGCCUUAUCUCACUGCCAGACACUCCGAAUUUCGUAGCUAAUUUGCCCUCAUUGCUGCCAGAUGUGGCGGGAUGGAGACAGAUGUUUGUUAUAUCGAACAGCCAAGGGCCGCCCACUGGAAUUGUUGUUCCUGAGUUGUGAGAAAUUUUGAGCAGAGGGAAAGGAGACGCGUUUUUCAUACCUUUUCUGAACAAAGACAAUGUUUGGGGUGCUUUUGGGAACUUUUCUGGGAACAUUUUUUUUCCCCGGCACAUUCUGCUAGCUAGGCCCUAAAUAUCACUCUUGAUAUCUGUACACCUCCAAAGGAAACCCUAACCCUAACGUUAAAAAGGAGCGAACAAUGCAACCGCUGACACGCCGUACGACCUCCAACUCACGUCUCGUCCCUUAUCGAGUCCCAGUAACCCACCAGUCCCCCACCAUCUACCCCAUACCAAACGGCCUUUUUCUAAAAGUAUUGGCAGCCUGUGUGAUUAAAAGCAGAUAUGAGUUGUUCUCCACCCAAAUGUUGCCGUAAAGCACAACCUGGCU
rnacentral:lncRNA from 1 species